rnacentral:tRNA from 1 species
AUUAAAUUAAGUUAAUUAAACUUUAAAUCUUCAAAAUUUAAUAUUUUAAAA